GUAGGGUGCGAGCGUUAUCCGGAAUCAUUGGGGCGUAAAGAGCUCGUAGGCGGUUCAGCAAGUCGGCUGUGAAAUUCCGAGGGCUCAACCUCGGAACUGCAGUCGAUACUGCUGUGACUCGAGUCCGGUAGAGGAGAAUGGAAUUCAGGGUGUAGCGGUGAAAUGCGCAGAUAUCCUGAGGAACACCAGUAGCGAAGGCGGUUUCUCUGGGCCGGUGCUGACGCUGAGGAGCGAAAGCGUGGGUAGCAAACUAGGAUUAGAUACCCUGGUAGUCCACGCCGUAAACGUUGGACACUAGGUGUGGCGUUCCGACCAACGGGUGCCGUGCCGAAGCUAACGCAUUAAGUGUCCCGCCUGGGGAGUACGGCCGCAAGGCUA
rnacentral:rRNA from 1 species